CGCGGCAAUUCUUGUGGCUUCAGAGCCACACUUAGUGAAGAAAAGCUUAAUGACCUCUUCUAGCCCACGGCGUUCCUGCCAGGUUGUACUUUCUUGGUUGUGAGAGCUAAAAACUUAAGAUCCACCCUCAAUCUUCAAUACAGGACUGUCAUCAGUUAGAGAACCAUGAUGGGAGCACUGUGAUAGAAGACUGCUCACUUCACUGUUAGCUGAGAAACAACAAAUAAGGAGAACUGGUCUGGAGACAGCAUAUUUGACCCGGGGACCUACUCUGAAUAGGCUCUAUCUCCUAAGAACAUCUUGCAGGGCAAUCAAGCCUUUAGCACUGACCUUUGGAAGAACAUUUUAGAUCCACACCAAACAAACAAAGCUGAACUGCUGAGUCAUACAAACUUAACUUCUGAGGAAGCUCUCCACUCUCCAAGUGUGUAGAGGCCAUGCAUGGUUGGAGUAGGGAAGGGAGAGAAUGUCUCUCUACCCUUCCUAAAUGUUAACAGUGCAAUGAGAGAAGCACAUAGUUUGAGAAGAAUUCAUGAGAGGAACAUCUGUUUCAAAGGAUCUCUGUAUUUUCCUAGGAAACAGUAUGUUAUUUUUUUCACCAAUUUGAAAACUAGAAGAUGAAGAAAAAAAACUCAAACAUUUAUCCUCUUGACAAUAUGGUCAACCAAAAUAAAAAAUACUUGAAAAAUCUGUUCUGCAAAGUAAAAAUAAGACUGACAAUAAAGCUAUUUACAUGGAA